UGGGCAGCAGUGGGGAAUAUUGCACAAUGGGGGGAACCCUGAUGCAGCGACGCCGCGUGAGUGAAGAAGUAUUUCGGUAUGUAAAGCUCUAUCAGCAGGGAAGAAGAUGACGGUACCUGACUAAGAAGCCCCGGCUAACUACGUGCCAGCAGCCGCGGUAAUACGUAGGGGGCAAGCGUUAUCCGGAUUUACUGGGUGUAAAGGGAGCGUAGACGGCAGGGCAAGUCUGGAGUGAAAGCCCGGGGCCCAACCCCGGGACUGCUUUGGAAACUGCCAUGCUGGAGUGCUGGAGGGGAAAGCGGAAU
rnacentral:rRNA from 1 species